CCUACGGGAGGCAGCAGUGAGGAAUAUUGGUCAAUGGGCGCGAGCCUGAACCAGCCAAGUAGCGUGAAGGAUGACUGCCCUACGGGUUGUAAACUUCUUUUAUAAAGGAAUAAAGUCAGGCACGUGUGCCUUUCUGAAUGUACGUUAUGAAUAAGGAUCGGCUAACUCCGUGCCAGCAGCCGCGGUAAUACGGAGGAUCCGAGCGUUAUCCGGAUUUAUUGGGUUUAAAGGGUGCGUAGGGGGUGAGGUAAGUCAGCGGUGAAAUGCCGACGCUCAACGGGGUGAAUGGCCAUGGAUACUGCCUUGCUGGAGUGCGGAUGCGGUAGGCGGAAUGUGUGGUGUAGCGGUGAAAUGCUUAGAUAUCACACAGAACACCGAUUGCGAAGGCAUCUCACGAAGCCGCGAUUGACGCUGAUGCACGAAAGCGUGGGUAUCAAACAGGAUUAGAUACCCCAGUAGUC
rnacentral:rRNA from 1 species